rnacentral:rRNA from 1 species
GAACGCUGGCGGCAGGCCUAACACAUGCAAGUCGAGCGGUAGCACAAGAGAGCUUGCUCUCUGGGUGACGAGCGGCGGACGGGUGAGUAAUGUCUGGGAAACUGCCUGAUGGAGGGGGAUAACUACUGGAAACGGUAGCUAAUACCGCAUGACGUCUUCGGACCAAAGUGGGGGACCUUCGGGCCUCACGCCAUCAGAUGUGCCCAGAUGGGAUUAGCUAGUAGGUGGGGUAAUGGCUCACCUAGGCGACGAUCUCUAGCUGGUCUGAGAGGAUGACCAGCCACACUGGAACUGAGACACGGUCCAGACUCCUACGGGAGGCAGCAGUGGGGAAUAUUGCACAAUGGGCGCAAGCCUGAUGCAGCCAUGCCGCGUGUGUGAAGAAGGCCUUCGGGUUGUAAAGCACUUUCAGCGGGGAGGAAGGCGAUAAGGUUAAUAACCUUGUCGAUUGACGUUACCCGCAGAAGAAGCACCGGCUAACUCCGUGCCAGCAGCCGCGGUAAUACGGAGGGUGCAAGCGUUAAUCGGAAUUACUGGGCGUAAAGCGCACGCAGGCGGUCUGUCAAGUCGGAUGUGAAAUCCCCGGGCUCAACCUGGGAACUGCAUUCGAAACUGGCAGGCUAGAGUCUUGUAGAGGGGGGUAGAAUUCCAGGUGUAGCGGUGAAAUGCGUAGAGAUCUGGAGGAAUACCGGUGGCGAAGGCGGCCCCCUGGACAAAGACUGACGCUCAGGUGCGAAAGCGUGGGGAGCAAACAGGAUUAGAUACCCUGGUAGUCCACGCCGUAAACGAUGUCGAUUUGGAGGUUGUGCCCUUGAGGCGUGGCUUCCGGAGCUAACGCGUUAAAUCGACCGCCUGGGGAGUACGGCCGCAAGGUUAAAACUCAAAUGAAUUGACGGGGGCCCGCACAAGCGGUGGAGCAUGUGGUUUAAUUUGAUGCAACGCGAAGAACCUUACCUGGUCUUGACAUCCACAGAACUUUCCAGAGAUGGAUUGGUGCCUUCGGGAACUGUGAGACAGGUGCUGCAUGGCUGUCGUCAGCUCGUGUUGUGAAAUGUUGGGUUAAGUCCCGCAACGAGCGCAACCCUCAUCCUUUGUUGCCAGCGGUCCGGCCGGGAACUCAAAGGAGACUGCCAGUGAUAAACUGGAGGAAGGUGGGGAUGACGUCAAGUCAUCAUGGCCCUUACGACCAGGGCUACACACGUGCUACAAUGGCAUAUACAAAGAGAAGCGACCUCGCGAGAGCAAGCGGACCUCAUAAAGUAUGUCGUAGUCCGGAUUGGAGUCUGCAACUCGACUCCAUGAAGUCGGAAUCGCUAGUAAUCGUAGAUCAGAAUGCUACGGUGAAUACGUUCCCGGGCCUUGUACACACCGCCCGUCACACCAUGGGAGUGGGUUGCAAAAGAAGUAGGUAGCUUAACCUUCGGGAGGGCGCUUACCACUUUGUGAUUCAUGACUGGGGUG